rnacentral:rRNA from 1 species
AUGCACGCUGGCGGCGUGCCUAAUACAUGCAAGUCGAGCGAACGGACGAGAAGCUUGCUUCUCUGAUGUUAGCGGCGGACGGGUGAGUAACACGUGGAUAACCUACCUAUAAGACUGGGAUAACUUCGGGAAACCGGAGCUAAUACCGGAUGAUAUUUUGAACCGCAUGGUUCAAAAGUGAAAGACGGUCUUGCUGUCACUUAUAGAUGGAUCCGCGCUGCAUUAGCUAGUUGGUAAGGUAACGGCUUACCAAGGCAACGAUGCAUAGCCGACCUGAGAGGGUGAUCGGCCACACUGGAACUGAGACACGGUCCAGACUCCUACGGGAGGCAGCAGUAGGGAAUCUUCCGCAAUGGGCGAAAGCCUGACGGAGCAACGCCGCGUGAGUGAUGAAGGUCUUCGGAUCGUAAAACUCUGUUAUUAGGGAAGAACAUAUGUGUAAGUAGCUGUGCACAUCUUGACGGUACCUAAUCAGAAAGCCACGGCUAACUACGUG